UAUCGGUAGUUUACUGCCGUUUGAAGGGGGUGGAAACUUUCUAGGCCUGCCUAGGGACGAGUACAUCCUGUUCUUAACCCUUGACUUUUUGCGCACUCAUGUUUCCUUGGUAGGCUCGCCUGCCAUUAGGACAACCAUUAAACCUUUUUGUAAUUGCAGUCAGCGUCAGUAAAAUUUAAUCGUUACAACUUUCAACAACGGAUCUCUUGGUUCU
rnacentral:misc_RNA from 1 species